rnacentral:lncRNA from 1 species
AGUACAAUGGAGACAAGGUAUGUGUGAGGAUCCAUGUGUUCGCCAAAGCCAACAUUGUGAUGUUCUGGCAGCAGGAAAUAAGCUCGAAAGCUUCGUGGCAGAGUGUGUAUUGUUGAAAUCGAGGUGGCCGGUGGUACUGACAUAGUACCUCUAUUGUCUUUGUCAGGAUAUGCUUUUCAGUUCUGUCUGUAAGUAGCUACAGCGACUACGUGACGCAAGCUCUGAGUGGAGAAAUUCCAUCAGCGAAACUUUUGUAGUCUUCGUGUUCUAUGUAAUGCUGAGAUGGGGUCCGGCGGUCCAGAUGUGCUUAUAUAACUUGGAGGCAAGUUCCACGUAGGACUUUAUUUCUUUAUGACAACAAAAGUUGCGCUGAAAUGUUAGUACUUCUGUUCGAUACAUUGCGUUGAAAGAUCAUCAGAAGUGAUUUCAAAAACUACAAUUCGCCACCUAACGAGGUGCUGUCAACAUAUCUUGAUUCUAGCAUUAUUUGCUUCAAGGGUAUGAGCAUAGUGUUAAGGCAAUGGACACAAC